GGAACUGCCUGCUGUACUCAGCAUUCUCCAGCACCCACUGCGGCCAAAGCAAUGGCUAUCACCAACAGGUUGUGAUGGAUUCUCCUGUGGCCCGAACUCUUGAAUUGAAUUUAAAACGUUAUCAUGGAUGGCUUCGGCUGGAAUUGUGUUUGCACUAGGCCCACUAAUUCGCUACGUAACUUGAAAUUGGGCGCGUUUGGGACAGUAAGGUUGUGAAUCAAAUUAUAUGUUUUACUGCCACAUACACUUAAGAGGACUGCUUUCCGCUUUUCUUCAGCAGUUAUCUCGUUUGCUGCGAUUGGCUCCAAUCGUCCAUAUUCACAUUAUAUGGAUCGAUUCUUCCAAACAGCAGCAUGGUUGGUGAGUGUUUUUUUUUAAAGUCAAUUUACUCACAGUAAACAGGGCAGAGUCGAAGUUGAUUUCGUCCUCAUCGCCAAAUGUGAUGACUCAAUGGAGCAGACAGGUUUAGUCAAGAAACAAUUAAACCUUAUUACAGACAUUUGCAGUCCUUGCACGCUCGACCAGAUCGUACGUUGCAAAAUGCUCCGCCCCCUGGAUUGCCCACGCUAAGAGCUUACUGGCUGCAGUCCCAAUGCAUCAUGUGAUGUACUAUCACAUGACCUGUGAUUGACAGAGGCAGUGAUUGUACAUCCAGUACAAACAUACAGCCAUGAUCGUAUUGAAUGGCAGAACAGGCUCGAUGGGCCAUGUGGUUGACUCCUGCUCCUGUUUCUUAUGUCCUUAAAGAGAAAGACUUGCACUUAUAUAGCACUUAUCAUGUCCUCAGACUGCUCCAAAGUGCUUUGUAAUUUUACUUUGAUCUGCAGUUACUGUUGUGUUGCAGGCAAAUUUAGCAGCUAAAAUGCAAACAGCAAGGAUCCACAAAUAGCAAUGGGAUGAAUGACUGAUUAAUCUGUUUAAUUUAUGGUUUUUAAUAGUUAAACAUUGGCCAGAUACCAGGAGAGCUCCCUGUUCCUCUAUUUCAAAGUGCCUUGGGAUCUUUUACACCCAUCUGAACAGGCAAAUGGGACAUCAGUUUAACAUUUCAUCCAAAAUAUAGCACCUCCACAAAAAUUGUGACUAAUCAGCACUGGAGUGUUUCUGGAUUAACACCUUUGUGCAACUUUAAAUUAUGGUAAUCAGCAAUUAGGAGCAAAAUUGUGAGCUAAAUCCAGACUUGCAAACAGGCUCGCCUUAUUAGCACUGCACCCUUUGGCCAAAAUAAACCCCUUUGGGGGAGAAAUAUGCUUGUGUACUAAAGCUUCAAGUAGCGCUAUGCAGAUUUGUUCCCCUAAGGUAGGCAGCAUAAAGUGGUGCUUGCUAACUCAAACGAUCAUUGAUUCAAGCUGGCACCAAUGACCUGUGCUAAAAUUUAAAAUAUUUGUUCUUUCUUGCACAAACUGCAGGUUCGAUUUUGGAGGAAAGGUACAAGAUUUUCUCAGCAUUUGUUAGGUUUAUUUAUGCUGUCCCAUCAAAUUAAUGGAGAGCUCGCUAAUAUGACGUCCCAAUAAAUUACUUUACACAGGCAAAGAAUAAUGAAGACAACAAUUUAAAACACUUCUUCACCCUUAUCUUGGUGCUUCGGCAUUUCAGCAAAAAAAAUUUUCAACUUGUUUACCACAAUUAUUAAUAUAUUUACACAAGCACAAUUGUGCAAAAAAAACGUACAAAGACGUUAACUAUUUUUUACCUCAUACUUCUCUCAUCAUUGAAGAUUUACCUUGCUUGACAAUAGGGGGCUGGGGAGGAGGAGGAAUACAGGAGUAGGCCAUUCAAACAACCGAGCCCAUUACACAUUCAAUUAGAUCAUGGCUGAUCUGUAUGUUAACAGCAUUUAUCUGUUUUGAUUCCAUAACUCUUAAUACCCUACCCUUGAAAUAAAACUAUCAAUUUUGAAAUUA